rnacentral:rRNA from 1 species
GGAGGGUGCAAACGUUGCUCGGAAUUACUGGGCGUAAAGCGCAUGCAGGCGGGUCUGCAAAAGUUUCGUGUGAAAGCCCAGGGGCUCAACCCAGGAAGUGCACGGAAAACUCGCAGACUAGAGUACUGGAGAAGUGGGCGGAAUUCCCGGUGUAGAGGUGAAAUUCGUAGAUAUCGGGAGGAACACCAGCAGCGAAGGCGGCUCACUUGACAGAUACUGACGCUCAGAUGCGAAAGCGUGGGGAGCAAACAGGAUUAGAUACCCUGGUAGUCCACGCCGUAAACGAUGGGCACUAGGUGUCGGGGGCUUGACCCCUUCGGCGCCGCCGCUAACGCAUUAAGUGCCCCGCCUGGGGACUACGGUCGCAAGACUA